UAGGGGCCCGUUGGACCUCGAGGAUCACCUGGACCUCCUGGACCAUCAGGCCCUCAAGGAUUUCAAGGACCCCGCGGGGAAACUGGAGAACCAGGACCACCCGGUGCUCCUGGACAUGCUGGAGAAAGAGGACUUCCUGGAUUGCCUGGAAAAGAUG